CUGACAUGCCACUGGGUUCGGUGCUUCUACGAUCUCUCCAUUGUAAAAGAAAAACUGACACUGCUGAAUGAAAGUCUCUAUAAUUGACUGGUGGAUUUUGGUGGUAGAAAGGAACUCUCUGUUUUCAAAAUCAGGUCUCAUCAAAGUAGGCCAGAAACAAAUUGAUAAGUUAUCAGCAGUCAUAAAGUUGGUUUUAUAUUGCUGACUAACCCUGUUCAGAUGUGUUAUCACGUAUUUGAAGACAUCGUAGUUCACUGGGUGGAAUUUCUUCACAAUUUCUUUUAACUCAUGUAGCCGUUCUGUCUUAUCCAGGAUCUUUGAUGCUUCUAACAACUCUUGAUGCAAAGAGUAAGGUAUUAAUGGAUCUGGCAGAUCUGCAAAAAAAGCUUUAAGAGCCCCAGCCACAGCAUUUACUGUCACUUCCAUAGACUCUAGACUGAUACUGUGAUCUUGAUCAAACUGUUUCUGAAUGUUGUCUUGAUCUGUUUUAUUUCCACUAACACGGUACAGGCCUUCAGUACAUAAUCCUGUAUCUUCAAUGAAUUGCACACAUUUUUCAACAAACAGAGGUAUGGGUUUCUCAGAUGUAACCAGGUCUUGUAGGGGCAUUCCAAAGUAAUUACUUUCCCAGUUUCUACGGAUUGGAGGAUUGAAUGUCUUAACUUUCUUUUUUUGCUUCUUAUCUUCUUUCACUUUUUGAGUUUUCUUUUUUGUUUUUUUAUCAUCCAAUUCUUGAUCUGAUGUAAUAGCAGGGUUAUCUAUGCCACCCUUCCAUGUUUCAACAGGUGAAAGAAGUGGGUCUUCUUCACUACCACGAUGCCUGCCUUUUCUUUUAGCUUUAGAAGUGGUAAAAGCCUCAUCGUCACUUGCAUCUGAAUGCGUUCUCCUGUAAUAAGACUUAGCUUUGCUGAACAAUGUCUUAGACUUAUACUUGUACUUUGAAGGUCUUCUUUCCCCAUGACUUUUAGAUAUUCUGUCAGAAAACCCAUUUUCUUCAUCGCCCUGGGCAUUUAUAGGCAUUGAGUUUCGAACUUUAAUAAUACGAUUCUGACUAUCAUCUGGAACUGCGUAGAUAUCAUCUGCAAAGCCUUUAUGUUUGAAAAUAGUGUCAAUAGGUUCAGCGUAAUUGUCAGAUUGGUCUACAUCUUCUGGUGGUGCUACAGGCACUCGAGAAGGUUGCUUCCUUGGGUUUUUACCAAUACCUGCCUCUAUUGUUUUCAAAAGGUUAGGAUCCAGUUUUUUCACAUUUGUUCUUGGAACAAGUGGUUUCGGUUUUAUUGGAGGAGGCACUUUAUGGUUGCGUUCAUGAUCAUGACAAUUGAGUGGCGUACUGUGAAUAGGAUACUCAUUUCCUUCCAAGUCCAAUCGGUACUUUGAACGGUCACUAGGGGUCGGGAGUAACCUUACGUCAUCACCAAUUGGACUGUACGGUGGUGGUCCCUCAGCAUCAUCUUCUGAAUCUGGAUAAUUAUAGUCAAGGGAACUUCCUCUGGGAGACCUUGAAAAAACAUCCUCACUUGUAUGCGUUGUUUCCCUUGUGCUGUCUGACAUAUAGGAACUUUCAAUCAUGUUUUUCUUCUCUAAUACAUCACUGAAGAAUAACGUGAAGACCUCUGUUUGACGAUGAUAUUGAGAUAAUGAAUAUAAAGCUGUAAACUUUGCAGUAAUCUCUGUUGCUAUGUGUUCUCCUUCAGUCAUGAGCUCCUUGAUAGCUUCAUUCUCAAAAAAGUCUGCCUGGCUAUCCGUAACAGCCACCAAUUGGACAGGAAUUGUAUCCUGAACUUCAGAAAGAAAUGCCCGAAGCAUCCCCAUGGAUGCCUUCCGCUUUGCGGAGUAAACCAGUAUAUAUCCAUGAACAAGUUCAUCUUUUCUUACACCAAUUGAAGAAUGGUAUGAUAAUAUAGUUAUUUGUAUUCUACGCCUCUUUUCACCUAUAAUUUUAUCAAGCAUCACAGAAUUGUUUUGGCCAGCCUGAGCAGCACUACAGGAGUGAGAUUCAAGGAAGGGUGAAAGAAUGAGAUCUACACUGAAUGGAUCACCACACAUAGCACACAUGACAAUUCUUAAGUCAGCUUCUGACAGAUCUUUAAUGGUGGGAACAGGACUCACAACAUCAAAGUGGUGUUUAACUGCUUCCAGUACUCCCCUCAGAGCUUGUUUUAUUUGGGUCUCGUUAAAUUUGCGUGGAUAUGUACCAGCAGGCACAUCUACGAAUGGACAUUGUAAUUUGUUGGCCAACUGCUGUCCCUGAUGUCUCAGAAUAGGUAGAUUCUUGCUAACACUGUCCCUCUGAUUAGCCAGUAUUAAUGUAAAGGGAAGAUUAGCCAUAUAUUUGUCUCUCCUUAUCUGAGAUGCUUCAGCUCUUAUUUUUGCAAUGCAAUCCCCAAUAAAAUUCAGUGAUUCAAUAGAGUUAAACACACAAAAACAACCAUGUGGUUUGAAGGCAGAGGUCCACAACUGAGUCAACAGGUAUGGGGAUUUUGCAUCAACUGGCCUAAGAUCAAGUUCAUAUAUUUUUCCAUCUAACGCAUAUUCAUCAUCAGUGGACUGUGUCCGAAUUUCAUUUGCUAACUCUUGUGCAAGGCCAUCUUUGCCCAAAAUGAAAAGAUUAACCUUAUCUAUGUUGGCACUAUCAUGAUACAAAUUUGAACGGCCAUGGUCUAACUGCAGAAGACUGUUGGCAAGUAACUGCUCUACUUUAAUGUCCAUGCAAUUUUGGCCACUGAGACAAGUUUCUUUAGUUGGAUGAUAAACAAAUCCUAUGUGUUUGAGAAGAAGAGAUUCUCUAUCAGGUGCAAGUUUCUGCAAAGCUUUGUAUCUAGGCUCUUCACUCAGAACUGCAUGAAUUUCACUCAUCUUAUCUGAACUUGGUGUUGCAUUAAGAUCCAGGUCAUAAAAUAGCUCUGAGUGUUCAAAAAGCAUUUCCUGAAACUCCUCUUUGGCUUUUUCAACAAUCUCUCUCUGAUGCCUACCAUACACUUCCUUACUAUCUGCAUCAGUAAUGUAUUUGAACGCCUCAUCUUCCAUAACAAAACAUAUAACUUCUUCCCAUGGCUGUCCAGGUGAAAUGAACUGGAUUUUCUCAAGAGUUUUUUUGAAUUUCUCCUUCAUUUCAAUCCUCCUCUUUUCAGAUAUAAGAUGCUGCACAUGAUUUUGAUAAACCUUUUCUGCCUCUAGCGUAGUGAGAAGGUCAAAUGGAAUCCUUCUGUCAUUCACUUUAUCUAUAUGGUCAGUUUCAUCCCAGGGUGUUUUUUCCAGCACAACAAAACAGGAAUGGAAGUCAGGCCUUUUCUCCAUUAACUUCAAAGCCUCUGACCAGCUCAAAUGUUCAAUCUCAUCCAGAUUUGACAGAAGAGUAUUAAGAGCUCUUGGCAAUGCAUUAAUGUAUUCUUCUUUCCUUUUUUUAAUAUGUUCCUGUUUAAGCUGCUCUAUGUGUUUUGAAAAUGUAUUUUUGGCCUUUUUUGUUCCUUCCAAAUUUAUGUAGUCUUCAUAAUCAGGAUGAUUUUUCAGUUUAUUACUAACUGUUUUCCAAGUAGCGUGAUAGUCUCUCACAGUUUGGACAAGUUUUUCAAACUUGUCUGUUGCUGUAACAGCUAGCUGUCUUUGAGUUUUGUAGGCAUCCAAGUAGGGGAUUAUUUUAGGCUUACCACGAGUUUUAUCCAUCAUUUGUACCAGGGCAGUAAAACAAGUUUCAACGUUGACAUUGAAUCUUGCUGAUGUUUCCACUACCACAAGGUUCUUCUUAUUAGAAGCAAAUGCCUGGACCUCUCGUAGAUAAUGAUCCACACAUUCAUCACAUUUUGUUGCUGCUAUUAUUAUGGGUUUCUUAGAUUUUGAUAACUGAAUAUAGAGAUUAUUCACAAACUUAAGUUGAUCAUCAAACUUCCUAUUGCAUCCUUGGCUUACAUCAAUGCACAGUAAAAAUCCAUCUAUGCUUAAUUUCCCUUCAGGCAUUUGUUUUUGCUCAAAGUCUUGCUCCAAGCCCAGCUGAUCUGUGCAAAUGUACAUUAGUUUUUCUGCUGACUGCAGUUUGGAGGCAGCUGCACGUUUUAUGUAUGGUUGUAAGUUCGUACUCCGAUGAGGCAAGAAAGUCUGAUCAUCAAUGAACUCAGUCUGUUCGAUUACAUGAAUUCUGCAGUCAAUUCCAUCCUCCCCACUUUGUGUUACGUCACCCCAGUACAAAAAGUGAUCAUUGUUAACAACUCUUCCUCCAAAGUCAAUUGUGCUAAGCACAGAGGUAUGCUCAGGAUAAUAUUCAUCUGCUUUUGAACGAACGAAUCUAUUGCACAAACACGACUUUCCAACUCCACAAUUACCUUUAUCCUUUUCAGUUCCAGACAGUCCAACAACACUAACAGCAUAAGAUGGGGGACGUGGCUCUUUGUUUUUUGCCAUCAUAACUUUCCUCUCAUCAUUUGGCAAUUAUUAAGGUAAUUGUAUGUGGUUUUCAUUCUGGAAAUGUUCCUACAAGUUUAAAUUGUAUAUCCACGGUUUCACAAACAGCUUUCAAUUGCUCUUGCUUCAGCUUGUCAUUGAGAACUCAGACACUCAGAAUGAAGAAGGAUCAUCUUCCUCGCGCCGCCGGGAUCCGGCUCCUCCGCGGCGGCGGGAGCGGCUGCAUUCCCGGGACGCUCUCUCCGCGCCGGCGCCCCCGGCGGCUUCUCCUCCCCGCGGGGCUCUCUCCUCUCUCCGGCCCGCGGCUCCCGAGCGCUGCCGGCCGCCGCAGUCCCGUCCCGCCUCUCCGCUCCCUCCUCAGCGCUCUCGGCUCAGUAAUGGCGGCCGCCGAGCUUCCCCGGCUCUCGCUUGGCUGACGGAGUCUCUCUCUCCCCCUAACUUUACCUCAGCAGCUUCCCUCCCCUCCCCCCUCCCUCCCGCCCGCCCGCCGCCGCGGCUCAGCGCGCGCCCGCCGGGCCAGCUGCGCGUGCGCGGGGAAGCGCCUCUUCCUGCUGCCGCUGGAAUCCCUGGGAAGCCUGGGAGAGCGCGCGCCGCCCGCCGGCUUCGCUAGCUCGCGCGCUCCCGCGCUCCGCCCCGCCUCCCCCUUCCCCUACCCCCUUCCCCGGCUCGAGCGGGUGCGCGCGCCCGGAGCCGCGCUCGUGCCCCGGUGGCCGCAUGGGCAGCGCGGGGAGGCGAGGGGUUGGGGGCGCGGGUUCUAGUCCCGCCGCGGACAGCGGUGCAGGCCGAGGCGGGCACGUACGUGUGAGCCGCGUCGAGGUGUGUCCGUGCACGCUGCUGCCUGAAUGUGACGGGGCUUGUUCCUAAACGCGGGAAGAAGGGGAGAACGCCGGAGUUUGAAACUCUGCCGAAGAGGGCGGAGAUCUGUCGUCCCCCCCCACCCAACCGCAGCGCUCACUGCGGCCCCGCCGGGUGCUUGCUUGCCCUCAUUGUCCCGUGUGUGUGUCCCAGGGCGCAGUCAUAGCGUCGAAGCUGCUUCCUACUCCACAGAAGUGUGGACCCUCAUGCUGCUCUCACUGCCGGCAGCUGGGGAAAGCCAGUCCCCAGAGAAAGGCAAUGGCGGGCAGCCGGGGCUGAUGUGCCGCAGGGCUGGAGCGGCCAGCAUUGGGUCUCCACUGCUCUCCCAUAGAACAUGCCACUUCUGUCUUCUUUCUUUCAGCCUUAAAGGUCUGGAGGCACGAGCAGGCUUUGUGGCCUGUAGCUAGUGUUCCUGUCUGUGGAGCAGACAUCAACACAAAUCCCACAUUCAGAUUAAGCACCCAAAUUUUUCACCAUUAUCUCCACAUGCCGCCAUUUGCUGAUGGCUAAGGGUUGGUCAAAUCACACUCAGAUGGCUCUCCCAGACAGUUUGUGAAGCACUCACGGGGUGGUGUGAAGUAGCCCGGGUGGGCGUUCGUGCCUCUGCUUCUGCCCUAUGUCUGCAGGGAGUGGUGGGUGAGGUAUGGGACACGAGAUGACUGCUGGUAAGUGGGUGCCGAUCUGUUGUUUCCAGUGUGUGGGGCAGGGAAUCGGUGGGCAUCACUGUGUAUGCAUCAUUUCUGCAUAUGCACGAGUGCGUAUGUAUUCAUCACUGUCAUAGAUACAUACACAGGAACAAAUGUGUACCCAUAAUAUUUAAUAACUAUAUGAUUUGUUCCAUGCAUUUAUAAUGCUACUUGGACAUUUCACAGCUUUACAUCUGAAAAUUAUGAAGUUAAAUGAGCAGUUUAAAAAUUCUGAUCUCUUCUCAAGAUACAUAUUCUGUAAACUUGAUUUUUUCAGAAAAUUCUAACUGGCAAAAUCCUUCUGUGUUAAAAUUGAGCAAACAGUCUCACGUAGACACUGUGUUACAGCAAAGUGUUUCUAGAAAUACUCAUCUUACAUAGGUCCUUCUAGAGAUAUUGAAAGCUCUUCAAUGUUGUCAUCAGAAUGGAUGAGGGAGUUUUAUUGUAGUCACAACCUCACUCUUAAAAAAAAAGUCUAAAAACAGAAGUUAAUUUUAAUUUGAAUUGCCUGAUUUUGAUAGUUUUUGUUUUGUCUUGCUCAAAAUACAUUGUGUAGAUACAACUUGGGGCAUUAAAUCUCCAUUUAUAGCUUGAUAUUGCUAUUCAUGUGUUUUAAAAAAUUGGAGAUAUUUUUAGCACAAUAAAAUAUAAGUUUUAAGGAAUGAGAUCUGUAAUUUCAUAUAGGAAUUAACUGUAUCACC
rnacentral:lncRNA from 1 species